UUUAGUCCUCCGACCGGUAUCCAUGUGGCCAGGAGGAGCGAAAUGGACGAAGUCAACGAGCUGGCUAUCCUGAUGAUGGAGUUGGAGUUGGGAGAGCAGAUGGGAGAGCCUUUAGAUCACGGGAGAUAUUACUUCCUAAACAACCUUCAUACAUCUGUCAUCCAACAACUGAGAAGAGAAGGAUUCAAAUCAGGGAAAAAACUAUAAUGAUUGUAUCAGAAUUACCUUGACUAACAACUAUUUAUGUUCAUAAAUAAAUCAUAUAUUAAAGUCACAAACCACAUUCUUCAUCAAA